UACGGAGGGUGCAAGCGUUGUCCGGAUUUAUUGGGUUUAAAGGGUGCGUAGGCGGCUUUAUAAGUCCGUGGUGAAAGCCAACAGCUCAACUGUUGAACUGCCAUGGAUACUGUAAGGCUUGAGUACAGACGAGGUAGGCGGAAUGGAUGGUGUAGCGGUGAAAUGCAUAGAUACCAUCCAGAACACCGAUUGCGUAGGCAGCUUGCUACACGAGUAUUGACACUGAGGCACGAAAGCGUGGGGAUCAAACAGG
rnacentral:rRNA from 1 species